GUUAACCAUCUGCCAAACAAGUUGAAUUUUGAGGAUGAGCCAUUUAUGGUUAACACUAUACUGCUAAACAUAAAGAAAGAUGUCUAUACUCACCUUCUUAAACAAAAAGACGACUUAAAAUUGAAAUUCAGGAAUAGAAUCUACAGAGAGAAAGAGUAGAGAAGUGAGAGAAAAAGAAUUGGGCGUCUGACCUAUCCGCCGUCCACCGCCAAUGCAAGUACGAGAAGAAAAGAAAAUAAAAGAAGAAGAGGUUGAUACAAACCAGGUAUGUUACGUUUUUCCC
rnacentral:lncRNA from 1 species